CCGAGUGAGGGCCUUCGGGCUCGACCUCCAACCCUUUGUGAACACAUCUUGUUGCUUCGGGGGCGACCCUACCGUUCCGACGGCGAGCGCCCCCGGAGGCCUUCAAACACUGCAUCUUUGCGUCGGAGUUUAAGUAAAUUUAAACA
rnacentral:misc_RNA from 1 species